rnacentral:rRNA from 1 species
GAGUUGCAGACUCCAAUCCGGACUACGAUACACUUUCUGGGAUUAGCUCCCCCUCGCGGGUUGGCGGCCCUCUGUAUGUACCAUUGUAUGACGUGUGAAGCCCACCCAUAAGGGCCAUGAGGACUUGACGUCAUCCCCACCUUCCUCCGGUUUGUCACCGGCAGUCUCAUUAGAGUGCCCUUUCGUAGCAACUAAAUGACAAGGGUUGCGCUCGUUGCGGGACUUAACCCAACAUCUCACGACACGAGCUGACGACAGCCAUGCAGCACCUGUGUUACGGUUCUCUUUUCGAGCACUCCCAAAUCUCUUCAGGAUUCCGUACAUGUCAAGGGUAG